UUGUUUUCUAUUUUUUAUAUUAACUAUAUUCCUAUUGUACCAUGCUGGAAUCUUAUUUUUAUAUUUUUUGUUUUGCUUUAUAGGUACUGUCAUCAUUAAUACAUCGCUCAAUGUUUGAUAGAAUACAUUUACGGCUUGGUCAGGAUUUAGGUUGCCGAUAAGGGUUUGCCAAUCGAUACAGUUCAAGUUAUUUUUAAUAAGCUCGUAGUUUGCAUUUCUAAAAUCGAGAUAGGGUUCGGAUAAAUUGUCAUCAAAUGUUCUAGAUGUCUCGUGGUUGAAAAUGGAGUAUUCAAUUGCAAUAUGAAACACUUCGUUUUUCCAUAGAGGGGAAGAUGACUCGGUCACGCAGAAAUCAUCAGUCAUAUUAGUAAAAACUAUACGCAUAACUGCUUGGAUCCGUCGGUUCUCGUUCAACUGCAAACCACGAAACAAAUUUCAGCGAAGGUGCGGCAUUAUAACAGCCGCCGAA